GUUGACAUCCAGAGAACUUAGCAGAGAUGCUUGUGCCUUCGGGAACUCUGAGACAGGUGCUGCAUGGCUGUCGUCAGCUCGUGUUGUGAAAUGUUGGGUUAAGUCCGCAACGAGCGCAACCCUUAUCCUUUGUUGCCAGCGGUUCGGCCGGGAACUCAAAGGAGACUGCCGGUGAUAAACCGGAGGAAGGUGGGGAUGACGUCAAGUCAUCAUGGCCCUUACGGCCGGGGCUACACACGUGCUACAAUGGCGCAUACAAAGAGAAGCGACCUCGCGAGAGCAAGCGGACCUCAUAAAGUGCGUCGUAGUCCGGAUUGGAGUCUGCAACUCGACUCCAUGAAGUCGGAAUCGCUAGUAAUCGUAGAUCAGAAUGCUACGGUGAAUACGUUCCCGGGCCUUGUACACACCGCCCGUCACACCAUGGGAGUGGGUUGCAAAAGAAGUAGGUAGCUUAACCUUCGGGAGGGCGCUUACCACUUUGUGAUUCAUGACUGGGGUGAAGUCGUAACAAGGUAGGCGUAGCGAG
rnacentral:rRNA from 1 species